AUUGAACGCUGGCGGCAGGCCUAACACAUGCAAGUCGAACGAGUGGCGGACGGGUGAGUAAUGUCUGGGAAACUGCCUGAUGGAGGGGGAUAACUACUGGAAACGGUAGCUAAUACCGCAUACCAUCAGAUGUGCCCCGAUGGGAUUAGCUGGUUGGGUGGGUAACGGCUCACCAAGGCGACGAUCCCUAGCUGGUCUGAGCGGAUGACCGGCCACACUGGAACGUAGACACGGUCCAGACGCCUACGGUAGGCAGCAGUGGGGAAUAUGGCACAAUGGGCGCAAGCCUGAUGCAGCCAUGCCGCGUGUAUGAAGAAGGCCGUCGGGUUGUAAAGUACUUUCAGCGGGGAGGCGUUACCCGCAGAAGAAGCACCGGCUAACUCCGUGCCAGCCGCCGCGGUAAUUC
rnacentral:rRNA from 1 species